rnacentral:rRNA from 1 species
AGAGAACGACUCUCGGCAACGGAUAUCUCGGCUCUCGCAUCGAUGAAGAACGUAGCGAAAUGCGAUACUUGGUGUGAAUUGCAGAAUCCCGUGAACCAUCGAGUCUUUGAACGCAAGUUGCGCCCGAAGCCAUCAGGUAGAGGGCACGUCUGCCUGGGCGUCACACGC